UAAAUGGCACAUGAAAGCAAAGAUGAGGAGACGUAUGGAAAUGUAAUAAAUACAUUGGUCCAGCUUUUCUCUGUGGAUUUAAUCAUUUCAUGGCCUUACUUAAACUCUGCACUGUCUAGCAAGCAGAGUAGCCUCUACCAUCUGGUUUCUUCUGGUUUCGGGAGCCAGGAGACAAUAAUAUAUAAAUCAUCAACAAGUUUUGAACUGUGAUCCAGUGGUACAGGAGAUCCGGAGUGCUAUGAUGGAAAAUGUUCCAGAGGGACUGUGUCUGGACUCACUAGGAAAGGAGGUCAUGAACAAUUAGCAACAUUUGCCCUGUGUAACCUUUCGCCAGGAGGCUAACUUUAUGGACUGCAUCAAUGUUGCUUUCAGCCAAUGGGAGACAUUGGCAAGAGAUCGGAAAGUAGACAGCUCCUUUCCUGCCAGGACACAGGUUAGAUGUGGCCAUGUUCAGCUACCUAAGGUCAAGGAUUUUAUUUAUUCAUGAGAGACACAGAGAGAGGCUGAGACCUAGGCACAGG